rnacentral:rRNA from 1 species
GACGAACGCUGGCGGCGCGCCUAACACAUGCAAGUCGAACGGAGCUGCGAGAAGCUUGCUUUUCUUAGCUUAGUGGCGAACGGGUGAGUAACGCGUGAGUAACCUGCCCUGGAGUGGGGGACAACAGUUGGAAACGACUGCUAAUACCGCAUAAGCCCACGAUCCGGCAUCGGAUUGAGGGAAAAGGAUUUAUUCGCUUCAGGAUGGACUCGCGUCCAAUUAGCUAGUUGGUGAGGUAACGGCCCACCAAGGCGACGAUUGGUAGCCGGACUGAGAGGUUGAACGGCCACAUUGGGACUGAGACACGGCCCAGACUCCUACGGGAGGCAGCAGUGGGGGAUAUUGCACAAUGGGGGAAACCCUGAUGCAGCGACGCCGCGUGGAGGAAGAGGGUUUUCGGAUUGUAAACUCCUGUCGUUAGGGACGAUAAUGACGGUACCUAACAAGAAAGCACCGGCUAACUACGUG